AUGCACGCUGGCGGCGUGCCUCAUACAUGCUAGUCGAGCGAACAGACGCGGAGCUUGCUCCUCUGACGUUAGCGGCGGACGGGUGAGUAACACGUGGAUAACCUACCUAUAAGACUGGGAUAACUUCGGGAAACCGGAGCUAAUACCGGAUAAUAUAUUGAACCGCAUGGUUCAAUAGUGAAAGACGGUUUUGCUGUCACUUAUAGAUGGAUCCGCGCCGCAUUAGCUAGUUGGUAAGGUAACGGCUUACCAAGGCAACGAUACGUAGCCGACCUGAGGGGGUGAUCGACCACACUGGAACUGAGACACGGUCCAGACUCCUACGGGAGGCAGCAGUAGGGAAUCUUCCGCAAUGGGCGAAAGCCUGACGGAGCAACGCCGCGUGAGUGAUGAAGGUCUUCCGAUCUUAAAACUCUGUUAUUAGGGAAGAACAAAUGAGUAAGUAACUAUGCACGUCUUGACGGUACCUAAUCAGAUAGCCGCGGCUAACUACGUA
rnacentral:rRNA from 1 species